rnacentral:lncRNA from 1 species
UCAGGCAGCCGUAGGAUCUUCUUACCACACUCCCAUCCCCCCCUCAGGCCCAUGUCAUUGCUUGUGAGGGGGAGGGCAACCUAAAGGAGAUGGCUAUUUCUGCUGCCUUGAGUGGGGAUCAGGUGUACAAGAGCUGAAGCCCGACUUCCCCCUGGGGCCCUCAGAAAGACACUGGAUCAAGCAUAACCCACUGUCACUCCAAACUCCUAAAGUCAAGCAAUCCACCAAACUCAGCAGCCUGAGGAGCAGGGAUGAACCAAUGCUGCCAGCUGAGACUGAAUAUUGCGAAAUUAAAGUGACCAAGGUUGGCCCCAAAGAAGAGACAAGAGAAGAUAUCUCCUACAUCCUUUGCAGAGGAAUAAUAAAGUGGAGGAAUUCCAUGGAGCCUGGAACAACCUCCAGGAAGUGAUGCAGAGUGAGAGGAGCAGAAUCGGGAGAACAUUAUACACAGAGACUGAUACACUGUGGUACAAUUGAAGGUAAUGGACUUCUCCAUUAGUGGCGAUUCAGUGAUCCUGAACAACUCAGAGGGAUCUAUGAGAAAGAACACUAUCCACAAUUAGAGGAAACACUGUUGAAGUAGAAACACAGAAGAAAAACAACUGCUUGAAUACAUGGGUCAAAGGGAUAUGGCUGGGGAUGUAGACUCUAAAUGAACAUUCUAGUGUAAACAACAAUAUGGAAAUAGGUUCUGAUCAAGGACACAAGUAAUACCCAAUGAGAGUGCAUGUUGGCUGUGGGAAGAGUGGGAGGAGGGAAGGGAGGGAAAUAAUGUGAUUAUUGUAACCAAGGAAUAAUGUUCUAAAUUGACUAAAUAAACUUAUUCAAAUUUAAAAAAGAAUUCA